ACCUCAUAUUUUGUAUAUAGUUACUGUACAUAUCACAUGGGAUGCUAGGUUGUAUUAUAUUUUUGAUCCACGCAUGUAUAUAUUUUAUAAGCCCACUGCAUGAAAAUGACAUAAGCAAGAAUUGCGCCUCAUAUCGAGUAUCGGGGUAUGAUAGAUGGUAUCAUAGUCCAUAUUCCUAGAAACAUCCCUUGUGCAUGAGGUUUUAGAGUAAGAUGAGACGUGGACGAACUCCAUCAGAGCAACCUCCCGAUUAUAUGUCCUUAGAGCAUAUUGACCAGUUAUACUAUAUGGUAGAGGAGCUUGUUAACCAACCUAGAGAAGGGAUGCUUAGCCUUCCUCUAGUACUGGCUCCAUAUAAUCUAGAACCAGUCGUUAUGGAUCCAAACUAUCACAGAAAGUUCAUGAGACUCCAUCCUCCUACAUUUGCUAGUACCAAGAAUUUUAUUGAAGCUGAAGGAUGGUUGAAAGAAAUUGAAAAGG
rnacentral:lncRNA from 1 species